rnacentral:rRNA from 1 species
GUGCCAGCAGCCGCGGUAAUACGGAGGGGGUUAGCGUUGUUCGGAAUUACUGGGCGUAAAGCGCACGUAGGCGGACUAAUAAGUUAGAGGUGAAAUCCCAGGGCUCAACCCUGGAACUGCCUUUAAUACUGUUAGUCUAGAGUUCGAGAGAGGUAAGUGGAAUUCCCAGUGUAGAGGUGAAAUUCGUAGAUAUUCGAGGAACACCAGUGGCGAAGGCGGCUUACUUGGCUUCGAUACUGACGCUGAGGUGCGAAAGUGUGGGGAGCAAACAGGAUUAGAUACCCUGGUAGUCC